ensembl:lncRNA novel transcript
GAGGAAAUAACAUUUGAGCUAGACUUUUAAGGAGGAGAAAGAGCCAGCUGCAGAAAGCCAACAAGAGGGGUGUUUGAUGCAAAGAAAAUCAUAAACCGACCCCCAGCUGGAAAUGAUCCUAACCUGUGGAAGCUCCUGAAUUGAGUGAGGGACUGGCCGGCAGGAGAGCAUAACACAGCUCAUCCUGACUGAUGCCACCAUUUCCAGAUAAGAGAAAUGCGACUGAGAAAGAUUAAGAUAUUUUCUUAAGAUUGGACAUUGUGUUCCUACCCAUUGUGCUUGCCUUAUAGGGUGCAGAUCUGCGUAGUGAAACUACCCACAGCAAGGAUGUAUGCCUGUGAGGUGGCACAGAACUGAUGGAUCAGACUUGGCCUUCAACCUCCUGUUAUCCUGAUGAAAUUGCAAGCUCCAAACAACAGAGACACAACAUUGACCAACAGUAAGAUGGCUUGAAGAAAUAUUUCUUUCAGGACAAACUCUGUGCAUUCCAUGAGGGUGGAUGGAUGGACUUAUGAGGACAAAGCCACUGACAUCAUGAGCAGGAAACAAUGCUUCUCUCAAGCUGCAGCUUCGAAAUGUCAAACAGCCUCUUCCUUGGGUGACAACUGCUUUCUGACUCAAAGGAAGACCUUGCUCUCCAGCAUCAGGGGCUGUCAGAAACUUUGCUUUUGAGUAAGUACAACAUCACACUGCCUGGAGGAUCUAGGUCCACCUUUACACAGAAGCACAGAGCUACAGAGAAGGGGUUUCUGGAUGGAACAUUCACAUCUGGCUGGACUUCAUGGGUUCUAAGGACAGAGGACCUGGGUCCACUUUGCAGACCAGACUUGACACUGGCUGCUUUACACUUAGGACUGCUACGUUGUGAGUCCAUCACUACAGCCUCAAGAAUCCCUCCCCACAGUCUUAUAAUAACCUCUUUGCUUUGUUUUUUUAGUCAUCCCAGGUUUCUUAAUGUGAAUUUAUUCCCUUUUUGCUACAAGCCAAUAAUCCUGAGUCUGUUAACUGCAAAAUCAGUUUUGGUGACUGAAUGCACUAGGAUGUAUAUUAGUUUCUGGAAUUUGGGAUGACUGUAGCAUUUUUCAGCAUUUUAAAGUGAGUAAUUUGUUGUGACUUAUUUCCUUUUCUUAAAUAAACACUAACUUCUGUGUUUAGUUUCAAA